rnacentral:rRNA from 1 species
AUUGAACGCUGGCGGAAUGCUUUACACAUGCAAGUCGAACGGCAGCACGGACUUCGGUCUGUUGGCGAGUGGCGAACGGGUGAGUAAUGUAUCGGAACGUGCCCAGUCGUGGGGGAUAACGUAGUGAAAAUUACGCUAAUACAGCAUACGAUCUAUGGAUGAAAGGGGGGGAUCGCAAGACCUUGCGCGAUUGGAGCGGCCGAUAGCAGAUUAGGUAGUUGGUGGGGUAAAGGCCCACCACGCCAACGAUCUGUAGCUGGUCUGAGAGGACGACCAGCCACACUGGAACUGAGACACGGUCCAGACUCCUACGGGAGGCAGCAGUGGGGAAUUUUGGACAAUGGGCGAAAGCCUGAUCCAGCCAUUCCGCGCGCAGGAUGAAGGCCCUCGGGUUGUAAACUGCUUUUGUACAGAACGAAAAGGUUUCUACUAAUACUAGGAGCUCAUGACGGUACUGUAAGAAUAAGCACCGGCUAACUACGUGCCAGCCGCCGCCGUAA